AUAGCAAGCCAUAUUACAUCAAAUAAAAUCACAACAAACUCAUAUCUAUAGAUAUCUUAUAAAGCUCAAAACCACUUAAGAGUCUUCUUCAAAUUCAUCAACUUAUCAACAUGUCUGGCAAAUGUGGAAACUGCAACUGUGCUGACAGCACCCAGUGUGUGAACAAGGGAAAUCAAUAUGGAAUUGACACCGUGGCUGAUGAUGUCAUCUUCUACGAUGGUGUGGUGAUGGAAGGCGGUAACUGCGACAGCUGCAAGUGCGGCGCCAGCUGCGCCUGCACCAGCUGCUCUUGCUGCUCUCACUAAGCAAAACAACCUCAUUAGAUGGAAGGCCUUAUCAUAUUAUCUAAUUUCUAUUUAAUAUAAGCUUCUAAUCUACUGAAUUAUGCACCUUAUACAUUAUGUAUAAGAAGACUUAUUUAUAAUUGGAAUAAUUUGUUACUUUGUAUGCUUUGUAAUAUGGCCCUGUGCCUAAUUAUAUAUGCUAUCAAUAUUAUUGCAUCGAAUUUAUUAGCUAUUUA